CCCUAGCAGACCAUUUAUUUGCUUUCCCUUUCAUAUAGCCGCCCCCUCCCCUCCAACCCUUUCAAUCUUCAUUCACACUUCACCCUUCACACUUCACAGACACAGCCGCCCCCUCCAAUCACCCCUACUCCCAUUAACAGUCGCCUCCUCUUCACUAGUCAAUGAGCUUAGGCUAUUCUCGGACGACCAUUCUUCGAAUCUCGAAAGAAACCAUUGUGCCUGUGAAGUGGUGAAACUGUUACCACUUCCAGAUCUUCUUCAAUCUAUUGCUUCUAUCAAAGCCGAUUACAUCGCUCAGGUGGACGAAAGAACACAAUUUGCAAAGGGAAUUGGAAUCGUUGUCCCUGUCUCAGAUUCUCAGAAGACAAUUAAUCGCAAACACGAUGGAUUCUUUUUUGCUGUCAAAGAGGUUUCAUUGCUUGUUCAGGGAAGUCAGGGAAAACAAAGUAUUUAUCAACUUGAGCAGGAGAUUGCUCUUUUAAGUCGAUUUGAACAUGAAAACAUAGUUCAAUAUUAUGGCACAGAUAAGGUACUGUUUUCUUGCUUUCUGUUGGGUUCUAGAUUUGAUUGUUUGAUCUACAUCAAUUCUGAAUGGAACUGAUGGAACCAAGAUAUAAUUAUGUUUCUUGGUUAUUGUUGCUAGAGUAGGUGCAACUAGUUCUUUCCUCUGCAAGUUGGGUUUGCUAAGAUUGAUUAUAAAGAAAAAGGUAUUGGUAAUGCACAAUUUUGAUUUUAGUGCUGAUGUUAAGUGUAGCUUGAUUUAUGAUAGAUAAUUAUGUUGACAAUAUUGGGCUUCAUGAAUGAUGAUGCCAGUUUAUUUCUGGUCUUAAUAAGCUAUACUACUGCUGGAUUUGUGCUCUUUAUUUAUAUGGCAAAUUCUUAUUCAAAUCUUUGAUAUUUAUCGUUAAUGAAACUUCAAUCUUGCCUCAGGUUGUCGACUAAGUCAAAAUUCCUCCUACAAGUAUACAAUAUUGUUUUAUUAUAAUGUUAUUUAUUGUUACCUCCUACAAGUAUACAAUAUUGUUUUAUUAUAAUGUUAUUUAUUGUUUUUUCUUUAAGCCCUUUGAAGGUAUUGGUUUGUAAUUUGGAUUAAUUUGGAUUUUAACUUAUUAAUGUGUGACUAUGUGUUAUUUAAAUGUUUUUGAAGCAGGAGAAAAAAAUUAGAAAGGU